UACGUAGGGUCCGAGCGUUGUCCGGAAUCACUGGGCGUAAAGGGCGCGUAGGCGGUCUCUUAAGCGUGUGGUGAAAGCCCGGGGCUCAACCUCGGAUCGGCCGUGGCGACUCGUGGGCUGGAGCACUGUAGAGGCGGGUGGAAUUCCGGGUGUAGCGGUGGAAUGCGUAGAGAUCCGGAAGAACACCAGUGGCGAAGGCGGCCCGCUGGGCAGUGGCUGACGCUGAGGCGCGACAGCGUGGGGAGCGAACAGG
rnacentral:rRNA from 1 species